rnacentral:antisense_RNA from 2 species
UUUUAUGGCGGUUGUGCGUGGGAGACCUUCGGGUCUGCCGGGUUCUGGUAAUAAUCCCCGGUCUGCGAACCCGCGCACAGCUGCCACCCCC